rnacentral:rRNA from 1 species
UCAAUAAGCGGAGGAAAAGAAACUAACAAGGACUCCCCUAGUUACAGCGAGCGAACCGGGAAGAGCUCAAAUUUGAAAUCUGGCGUCCCACGGGCGUCCGAGUUGUAAUCUGCAGAGGCGUCUUCCGCCCCGGACAGAGUCCAAGUCCCUUGGAACAGGGUAUCAAAGAGGGUGACAAUCCCGUGCUUGACGCGACCCCCGGUGCUAUGUGAUGCGACCUCAAAGAGUCGAGUUGUUUGGGAAUGCAGCUCAAAACGGGUGGUAAAUUCCAUCUAAGGCUAAAUAUUGGCGAGAGACCGAUAGCGAACAAGUACCGUGAGGGAAAGAUGAAAAGCACUUUGGAAAGAGAGUUAAACAGUACGUGAAAUUGUUGGAAGGGAAACGAUUGAAGUCAGUCGUGUCCGAGGGGUUCAGCCGGUCCUGCCGGUGCACUCCCCUCGGACGGGUCAACAUCGGUUCUGUCCGGCGGACAAGGGCAGGGGGAACGUGGCACCCUCGUGGUGUGUUAUAGCCCCCCGUCGCAUACGUCGGUCGGGACCGAGGAUCGCAGCUCGCCCUCACGGGCCGGGGUUCGCCCACGUCCGAGCUUAGGAUGUUGACGUAAUGGCUUUAAACGACCCGUCUUGAAAC